rnacentral:pre_miRNA from 1 species
AAUAAGUGUGGUUUUACACUGUUAAUGUCCAAUGUUUGGUCUUUCGUUUUAUUUAAAAAAAAUUUAUGAUUAGUUUUUUUUAUCGUUAUUAGAUAAUAAAACAUGAAUAAUACUCUAUGUGUGACUAUCUUUUUUAAUUGUUUUAUAUUUCUUUUAAAUAAGACGGACGGUCGUGGAUAUCCAUAUCCACGGCUAGGCUCAUU